AUUUUGUGCUCCUACACUGCAGAUACCCAAACAAGAAAGUGAAAGUUCAAAGUCGCGUUCGUUAGAUAAAAGUAUCAACAAUGCAGUUAUCUUAAGUAAAAAUAGUCAGACAGAGCAGCCUAUGUCUGAGGACAAUAAAGCCAUUAACAGACGUAGUUCACUUGUAGAACGCCUUCAUGAAGAAUUCAAAGAAACAAGAGAGGAACUAGCUAUGCAUCUUCAUGGAGCCUUGGACCAAAUGGAGAGAGAGCGGUACACAAAAUGCCAGAAAAAGUUCAGCACUCUGAAUACCGGAUCUGUAAGUUUCCAUAGAGCGGUGGAGGCCAUGAGAAAGAAAGGAAGGCAGUUGUCUAUUAGGCCUGAAGACAUCAGGAGACAGUCAUCUUUCAAGGGACAUUGGUAAGAAAACUUGUAAUUAAUUCUUUUCAACCACAUUGCCUUGUACCCUCUAGCUAUCCACUAUAUCCACCAUGUGUUAUUCCCUCUAGCUAUCCACCUUGUCCAUGGAGCCUUGUCUCUAGCUAGUCCACCACGUUCAUGCAGGCAUAUCACCAUGCCACCUCUGUCCCCCACGCCUUGUU
rnacentral:sRNA from 1 species